AUUGAACGCUGGCGGCAGGCUUAACACAUGCAAGUCGAGCGGAGAUGAGGUGCUUGCACCUUAUCUUAGCGGCGGACGGGUGAGUAAUGCUUAGGAAUCUGCCUAUUAGUGGGGGACAACAUUCCGAAAGGAAUGCUAAUACCGCAUACGUCCUACGGGAGAAAGCAGGGGAUCUUCGGACCUUGCGCUGAUAGAUGAGCCUAAGUGGGAUUAGCUAGUUGGUGGGGUAAAGGCCUACCAAGGCGACGAUCUGUAGCGGGUCUGAGAGGAUGAUCCGCCACACUGGGACUGAGACACGGCCCAGACUCCUACGGGAGGCAGCAGUGGGGAAUAUUGGACAAUGGGGGGAACCCUGAUCCAGCCAUGCCGCGUGUGUGAAGAAGGCCUUAUGGUUGUAAAGCACUUUAAGCGAGGAGGAGGCUACUGAGACUAAUACUCUUGGAUAGUGGACGUUACUCGCAGAAUAAGCACCGGCUAACUCUGUGCCAGCCGCCGCCGUAACAC
rnacentral:rRNA from 1 species